GAGUUUGAUCCUGGCUCAGGAUGAACGCUGGCGGCGUGCUUAACACAUGCAAGUCGAACGAAGCACUUUAUUUGAUUUCCUUCGGGACUGAUUAUUUUGUGACUGAGUGGCGGACGGGUGAGUAACGCGUGGGUAACCUGCCUUGUACAGGGGGAUAACAGUUGGAAACGGCUGCUAAUACCGCAUAAGCGCACAGCAUCGCAUGAUGCAGUGUGAAAAACUCCGGUGGUAUAAGAUGGACCCGCGUUGGAUUAGCUAGUUGGUGAGGUAACGGCCCACCAAGGCGACGAUCCAUAGCCGACCUGAGAGGGUGACCGGCCACAUUGGGACUGAGACACGGCCCAGACUCCUACGGGAGGCAGCAGUGGGGAAUAUUGGGCAAUGGGCGAAAGCCUGACCCAGCAACGCCGCGUGAAGGAAGAAGGUCUUCGGAUUGUAAACUUCUUUUAUCAGGGACGAAGUAAGUGACGGUACCUGAUGAAUAAGCCACGGCUAACUACGUGCCAGCCGCCGCGGUAAUAC
rnacentral:rRNA from 1 species